GAGUUUGUGGCUGAAUGGGUUAAGAACCUGAUUAGUAUCCACGAGGACGCAGGUUCGAUCCCUGGCCUCACUCA
rnacentral:tRNA from 1 species